ensembl:antisense A830011K09Rik RIKEN cDNA A830011K09 gene
ACAGCCGCCCUCGGAAAGUGCAAAAGCAGCCACGAGACAGAUCCAGGCUUUGUUGCUAAUUUCCCAGGGUGAAAAUUGACAAGCCUGGGAGUGCAGUCAGCACAACCCAUUGCAUAUGCUACUGACAAACGCUGGGGACAUCCCCUCCCACCCAUGCCUAUCACACAGAGAAUGUGACCUCUGCAGGACUGGACUCUGGAAGGACCCUACCUCCAGGACUCGCCCACAAGAAGAACUGCAAAAGAGCUCCAAAGGAGAAGGAAAAAAAAAUCAUCAGAAAAACCCCCGUGCAGAUGAAGAGGCUUGAUGCUUAAUGCGCACAGAUGUGAUCGCCAGUGGUCGCCGACAAUGAAAUAUACAAGUGCACACAAAGUGAUCCGGUGAACAAGAGGUGGAAUUUAAUCAUCUUCUGCUGACACUUUGUGAAAAACACCAUUAACCCUCAGCAAACCCCCUGUUUUCCUGGCUCCCUGUAACCCCUAAAGUCUCAGCCCCUCCUGCCAAGGAGAAAAAGUGAAAGAAGAAUUUGUGGUUUUGUUUACUCAGCCAAGCUAAAGGUUGGAUCCAGCCAGAUGAAAACUUUAAGGAACAAUGAAGGAGAGAGGUGCCGCUCUGAACCGGGACUAAGGUGCAGAACUGGAGUGAGCUGUUCUCCAACUCCUGAAUUUGAACCCUGGACUGAAUAAAAGCUUUAAGACCACAAGACAAACACAAAGUUUAUAGCCAACUCGUUUUUCAAGUGUAGUGUCUCUGCUACAGUCCUUGCUACUCUCUCCUUGGGAAGGUGCCUUCCAAGGUUCACCGUGGCUCCUCUGUACAUGUCCCUAUUCAGGAGGGCCUGGACUCUUCUUCAAUUUUCUGGUAUGGAAGACAUAUGUGGUAUCAAUUAUUCCAGGACCCAGAUCACUUCUUUCCUUUUAAAAUGCCACCAAGCAUCCUAAGAAAGUGUGAUGGUGUUUGGUGUUUGGAGGGUUUUAAAAUUGGGCACUUUGAAGCUAGCAGGCAGCAUUGGCUCUACACACUGCUUUAAGUAGCUUUUCCAUGCUCAUGCUCCCGAGCUACUCCCCCACUAACUUCCCAAACUGCUUCCACAUUCUCCCGCUCCUUCCCUCUGCAUGCUUCACCAAUGUGCACAUAGCUGUUCUUGGGCAUAGAUGGCGCAUGCUAGGGGGAUUGUUUGAAAGGGUAAUUAAUAGGCAUAAGAUCCUGUCCUCAUCUGAUAUAUUUUAUAACUUAUUUUUUAUCAAAAAUGAAUUUCAAAUAUUCUGUUGCCGUCUCAGACAUACCAGCAUACAGCCUAAAAAUAGGUACAGUCACCAGAGCUAUGGUGACGGAUCAAACAAAUCUAUCUGCCAUCAAACUCAUGUUCUUGACUUGGGAAUCUCUCUGUGAAACACAGGGCAUUUCUGAGAAAAGCAAAGCCUGGUGACUGAAUGAAACCUUAGAUUUAUCCCCCUAAGGACAGAAUAGUUUUACAAUCAUGCUUUAAUUUUCCUUUGUAUUUUAUACCUUUGACAUUUCGUGGACAAAUGUAAGGAGCAGCAAGGCUGUUGACAGGCCUGGGGAUGACGAAGGAAGGACUAAGCGUUUUCUUCAUUCAAACAAGGCAGAAAGUGAAACCACGUAGUCUAAUGGUCAGUGUCUCAAUAAGAUGAGAAUAAACAGAAAGAGGCUCCGUGUCUUAUUUAUAUUUUAUCAGAGGUUAUUGCUGUAGAACCGUGAAGCACAAUAAAUAGCAUUCUGUUAGCAGCCAUUUGAAAGAAAAUGUUCAUCACUUUCAAAUAAAAUUACUUCCCUC